rnacentral:rRNA from 4 species
GGGAUUGCCCUAGUAACGGCGAGUGAAGCGGCAACAGCUCAAAUUUGAAAUCUGGAGCCUUUGGCUUCCGAGUUGUAAUUUGCAGAGGGAGCCUCGGAGGGCGAGACGGUCCAAGUGCCUUGGAACAGGAUACCGCAGAGGGUGAGAGUCCCGUAUCCGGCCGAUCUUGCGCUCCGUGUGAGGCCCCUUCGACGAGUCGAGUUGUUUGGGAAUGCAGCUCCAAGCGGGUGGUAAAUUCCAUCUAAAGCUAAAUACUGGCCAGAGACCGAUAGCGAACAAGUAGAGUGAUCGAAAGAUGAAAAGCACUUUGAAAAGAGAGUCAAACAGUACGUGAAAUUGUUGAAAGGGAAGCGCAUGGGGGCAGACUUGGACGCGGGGUUCAGCGUUUCGAUUUUGGAGCGUGUACUUCCCCGCGUGCAGGCCAGCAUCGGUUCCGGGGGCCGGACAAAGACGUUGGGAAUGUGGCUCCCCUCGGGGAGUGUUAUAGCCCGGCGUGCAAUGCGGCCACCUGGGACCGAGGACCGCGCCUUGUGCAAGGAUGCUGGCGUAAUGGCCUCAUGCGGCCCGUCUUGAAACACGGACCAAGGAGUCUAACAUCUAUGCGAGUGUUUGGGUGGCAAGCCCGGACGCGCAAUGAAAGUGAACGGAGGUGGGAGUCUGUCAAAGGACGCACCAUCGACCGAUCCGGACGUCUUCUGAAGGAUUUGAGUAAGAGCAUAGCUGUUGGGACCCGAAAGAUGGUGAACUAUGCGUGAAUAGGGUGAAGCCAGAGGAAACUCUGGUGGAGGCUCGCAGCGG